AUGAUCAAGGGAGACCAGCGGCAGCUUGGAGGUCAUGAAGAGCGGCUGAAAGAUCAGAUGAGAGAUGAUCAUCGGGCCUCUGAUGGCAAUUUUUUCAAGUUCUUGCAAAACCAGUCAAGCACAAAAAAAGAGGCUCAAGAAGACAAGAUUGCGUCCACAAGGGCAGAAAUGGGCGAAGUCAGAAAAGAGAACGAGAGGCUGAAGAUUAUGCUAUCACGGAUGGUGGAGGACCAUCGCUCGCUUCAGAAGCAAUUCGACGUUCUCCACCAUCAAGGGCGAGGCAAGGACAUCGCCGUUGGCUCACCGGAGCAUACAUCAGCAGUCGACGGCCCCGGGUUCGUCUCUUUGCACCUUGGAACGAGCGCCGGCAUGAGCAGGCAGAACAUGGGAGAAGAGAUCAAGGGCAGCACUAAUAAUCCAGAUGACAAGGGCAUCUUUCUUGGACUUUCAUCAGCCUGCGGAGCUGUUGGUGCAAGAACUGAUGGAAGUGAGACGAAGGUGCGGCCAGAUGUGGUGACGUUGAGCCCCGGAGGCAGCUCCAAGGAGGAGGCCGCGGAGACGACAACGUCAGCCACAGCAAGCAAGAUGGCAAAGAACCCGAGAAGCACCGGCAGCGGCGCGGUGACAGAGGAGGUGGCCCAGCAGCCACUGGCCAAGAAGGCCAGGGUGUCGGUGAGGGCAAGGUGUGACACACCAACGAUGAACGAUGGGUGCCAGUGGAGGAAGUACGGGCAGAAGAUAUCCAAGGGGAACCCAUGUCCACGCGCCUACUACCGCUGCACCGUCGAAACAGGGUGCCCCGUCAGAAAACAGGUGCAAAGAUGCGCGGAGGACAUGUCGAUCCUGAUCAGCACCUACGAGGGCGCGCACAACCACCCGUUGUCCGCCUCCGCCACCGCCAUGGCAUCCACCACCUCAGCCGCGGCAUCCAUGCUCGUGUCGGGCUCUUCCACCUCGCUCGGCUUCCCCUCUGCCGCCUCCAGCCUCCACGGCCUUAGGUUCGGCAUCCCGGGGGUGGCCAGUAGCACCUCCACUAACGAGCUGGGCGGCCGACCGUUCUUCCUCCCGGCCGCCGCCGGCGCGUCCAUCAGCGCCACCCCGUCGUACCCCACCAUCACCCUCGACCUCACCUCGCAGGCUGCCUCACAACAGGCCUUCUCCCUCAGCAACACCAACAGGUUCUCCUCCAGCUCCACCGGCUCUUACGGCCACAAUACCAGCGCUGGUAGGUACCCUUCCACGAGCUUCUCCUUCUCCGGCUCCGGCGCGAGCAGCCUACCUGGCGCCACCCCCUGGCCGGCCGGUGUUGGAUCGUACCUGAGCUACGGAUCCUCGCCCAGCGCACCCUACAACGGCGCCGGCAAGAGCUCAUUCGAGGCCGCGCUCAGCGGCAUCAAUGGAAGGCAACAAGGAUCGGCGGCAUUCCUCUACCAGCCGGUGCAGCAGAGGGCGGCUCCCGUGAGCGGCGGCAGCACGGCGCCGACCGUGCUCACCGACACGAUCGCCAAGGCGAUCACGUCGGACCCGGGCUUCCACACAGCGCUCGCGGCCGCCAUCACGUCGUAUGUUGGCAAGCCGGCUGCAGGAGGCAGCAAGGGGCUCGAGUGGGGUGAGCACCUCGGGCUGGGGCCGUCCAGUGCGGCAGCCGCGGCGUGCUCGUCGGCAGUGCUGGCACGAUCGUCAUCAACGGGGGCCGCACAGAGCAGUUCCCCAAACGGCAGGAUGACAUCGCAGGCGCUGUCGGGCUCCACGAGUGCUACUGCUUCGACAUUGUGA
rnacentral:rRNA from 1 species